rnacentral:rRNA from 1 species
UACGGAGGGUGCUAGCGUUGUUCGGAAUCACUGGGCGUAAAGGGCUCGUAGGCGGCCAACUAAGUCAGACGUGAAAUCCCUCGGCUUAACCGGGGAACUGCGUCUGAUACUGGAUGGCUUGAGAUUGGGAGAGGGAUGCGGAAUUCCAGGUGUAGCGGUGAAAUGCGUAGAUAUCUGGAGGAACACCGGUGGCGAAGGCGGCAUCCUGGACCAACACUGACGCUGAGGAGCGAAAGCCAGGGGAGCAAACGGG